AAGAAAGCCAGGCAUAGAGGUGUGUAUCCGCCUUGGAAGUUUGAAUGCCCAAGGAUGGUCCUUUGACGAGCUGAAAGAAAGUUGAAAAAAGGGCUUCCGCAAGGGAAUCAGAAUAGGUGACAAAUGCCACAGAAGGAACAGAAUAGGCAUCGAGCAGAGAAGAGGCCGCAAGCACAUUCAUUGAUGCAUCGAAUGCAAGUGUUUUCGCCUUAUCCGCGGUUAGAGAAUCCUCUGUCGGCGUAAAGGCAGUUUUCUCGUUUCGGAUAACUCUUUCACUCUCUUCAAAGAGAGUUCUUUUCCGCGGGAUUAAGGGAUUCCUGUCAUUUGCUCAUAUUGUCUCCUAUGGGGAUGGAUUGAUAUGGAGGGUUUCCAUUUUCUUUUUACUAUUUACUUCUACUUGAACCGUUCAACAUGAGUAUUUCUUGAACUUAGUUUGUUUCAAGUUUAAA
rnacentral:lncRNA from 1 species